rnacentral:rRNA from 1 species
UGUCACAGCCAUAUCACCCUGUAGCCCAAAACCGGUUACUCACUGAAGCUAAGCUUGGCUGAUCCUGGUAAGUACCUGGAUAAGAAACCACAUGGGUAAACUAGAUUGCUGAUGGAAG